rnacentral:rRNA from 1 species
CAAGGUUGACCUCGGAUCAGGUAGGGAUCACCCGCUGAACUUAAGC